GAUGAACGCUGGCGGCGUGCCUAAUACAUGCAAGUCGAGCGAACAGACGAGGAGCUUGCUCCUCUGACGUUAGCGGCGGACGUGUGAGUAACACGUGGAUAACCUACCUAUAAGACUGGGAUAACUUCGGGAAACCGGUGCUAAUACCGGAUAAUAUAUUGAACCGCAUGGUUCAAUAGUGAAAGACGGUUUUGCUGUCACUUAUAGAUGGAUCCGCGCCGCAUUAGCUAGUUGGUAAGGUAACGGCUUACCAAGGCAACGAUGCGUAGCCGACCUGAGAGGGUGAUCGGCCACACUGGAACUGAGACACGGUCCAGACUCCUACGGGAGGCAGCAGUAGGGAAUCUUCCGCAAUGGGCGAAAGCCUGACGGAGCAACGCCGCGUGAGUGAUGAAGGUCUUCGGAUCGUAAAACUCUGUUAUUAGGGAAGAACAAAUGUGUAAGUAACUAUGCACGUCUUGACGGUACCUAAUCAGAAAGCCACGGCUAACUACGUG
rnacentral:rRNA from 1 species